AUGGCAGCAGCCAGUGCUCUUCUCAUGGCGGCUCUCGCGGUCUUCGCCACGGCCGCGGCGGCGGCGCUGGACACGUCGCCGGUGCCGUUCGAUGCCGGGUACGCGCCGCUCUUUGGGGGCGACAACCUCGUGCGGUCGGUGGACGGCCGGAGCGUCACGCUCAAGCUGGACCGAUACACCGGGUCUGGGUUCAUAUCCAAGUCGGCCUACCGCCAUGGCUUCUUCGGCGCUUCCAUUAAGCUGCCGGCCGACUACACCGCCGGCGUCGUCGUCGCCUUCUACCUGUCGAACUGGGACGAGUACCCCAAGAACCACGACGAGCUGGACUUCGAACUGCUGGGCAACCGGCGCGGCCACGGCUGGCGUGUCCAGACCAACAUGUACGGCAACGGCAGCACCGCCCGCGGCCGAGAGGAGCGUUACCAUCUCCCCGUCGAACCUACCGUCGCCGGCGUCCACCGCUAUGCCAUAGCCUGGACCCCCAACAACAUCGUCUUCUACCUCGACGGCGUCCCCAUCCGCGAGGUGGUCGGCGUUCCCUCCAUGGGCGGCGACUUCCCCUCCAAGCCCAUGUCCGUCUACGCCACCAUCUGGGACGGCUCCGCCUGGGCCACCGAUGGCGGCAAGUACAAGGUCGACUACGCCUACGCGCCAUUCGCCGCCGAGUUCUCCGACCUCGUCCUGAGCGGCUGCGACGGGUGCCAGGUCGACCUGCUCACGCACGACGUCGCCGUCAUGGCCCCUGCCAAGCGCGCCGCCAUGAGGGGGUUCCGCGAGCAGUACCUGACCUACACGGCUUGCCGCGACCGGGUGCGAUACAAGACCACGGUCUUCCCCGAGUGUGACGACCUCGCCGACGGCGACUCCAGCUUCCACCUCUGGGGGGAGUCCAAGAAGAGGCGCCGCCGGUCGUCGUCGCCGCUGCAGUACUCUUCCAGCAUGCAGUAG
rnacentral:rRNA from 1 species